CCGAAGGUGGGCCAGCAUGGUCAGCGGAGUCGUUUGGAUACGGGCCAUUUUUAGGUCAAAUCGGUGGAUGUUAGCCCAUGGUUCUGGGGGUGGACCCGAUCGAUCGGUUGUCCAGACGGGUUGUGGAUUGACUAAGGGUGGCCAGCGGGGUUGGAAGGGUCGUUUGGGUACGGGCUAUUUUUGGGUCAAAUCGAUGAAUGUUAGCCCACAUUCUGGGGGUGGACACGGGGCCAGG
rnacentral:lncRNA from 1 species